rnacentral:lncRNA from 1 species
AUCCAACUCCACCUCCUCCAGCAGGGCCAGCAGCUGCUCCUCGUUGCGCACCACCUUGUCCUGGGCGUACAGCCCCUCCGGCAGGGCCCGCUGCUGCCCCAGCCCCAGCAGUGCCACCUCCAGCGCCAGCACCAAGUAGGACUCCCCAGGGCUCCCGGGCACAGGCACGUGCUGGUAGGCCACCUUCCGCUUCUCGGGGCCUGAGUCUGGGGGAGACAGGGCCAGGGCUGCUGGAGACGGAUCCCCUUCCCUAAGGUCCCUGUAGCCCUUGGCCUCAAGCAUGGAGACCUGGGCGCAGGGUAGGCUUUAGAGGGAGCCCAGAAGCUCCCAGCACUCACGGGGUUGGGGGAGCGCGGGAGCCCCACCUUCUAGCAGCAGCUAGGCCUAUGGUGGCCUCACUUUCAGGAGAAGCUAAGCCUAUUGGCUCUGGGCACUGGCCAGAGGAGGUAGCCAAGGGUAGGGGCGUGGCCAAGGGUCAGAGUCUGGGAGUUACCUUAUAGGGGUACUGGGCCAGGGGGCGUGGCCAACGAGGCGGGGUUGUCCCACCUCCUCCAAGAGUACCCCAUGUGAGUACCUGGGUAAAGGGUAAGUGUCUCCUCCUCCAGACGACAGGCCUCCAGGAGCGCCCUGCAGAGGCAGCCAAUGGGGUCCAGGGGGUGCCCCACCCAUCCUUCGGUGUUGGUGAUGCAGGUGGAGCCCUUCUGGAGCAGCUCUGCAGGUGGAAAGAGGGGGCUCAAUGCCCACACACCUGCCCAAGUCUCUAGGAGGGAGGGAUAUUCCUCUUCUUGACCUGCCAGCCAGCCUAGCCCCAUAAUGCCCACCACCUGCUCACCCAAUGGUCACCUUCAACUUUUUUUUUUGAGGUGGGGUCUCGCUUAUUGCCCAGGCUGGAGUGCAGUGGCCCAAUCAUAGCUCACUGCAGCCUCUGGAGCUCAAGCGAUCCUCCUGCUUCGGCCUCCCAAAGGGAUUACAGGCAUGGGCCACCAUGCCUGGCCACUGGACGCUUUCUAAAACACCCGAAGUGUCAUUCCCCUCCUCAUUGCCCUUAUUCCCUCUCCACCUCUCUGAAGAUAAAGCCCCAACAGCCUUUAGGGCCCCCAAGGACCAGUAUGAAGUUUUUCCAUAUACUGGUGACCUGCCUCAUCUGGAGGCCAAUCCUCCAGCCUCGUCCUCCAAGCCACGUACUCUCUUCCCUCCUGGCUGCUGCUCAUGGUGUUCCUUCUAUUCUGAGCACUUCCUCCAUCCCCUUCUCCUGGGUAACUCCUGCACAUCCUUUUUCUUUUUUUAAAUUUUUUCUGAGAUGGAGUUUUGCUCUUGUUGCCCAGACUAGAGUGCAAUGGCGUGAUCUCAGCUCACCACAACCUCCAGGUACCUCCCGGUUCAAGGGAUUCUCCUGCCUCAGUGUCCUGAGUAGCUGGGAAUACAGGUACGUGCCACCACACCUGGCUAAUUUGUUUUGGAUUUUUAGUAGAGAUGGGGUUUCACUAUGUUGGCCAGGCUGGUUUUGAACUCCUGACCUCAGGCACUCCACCUGCCUCCACCUCCCAAAGUGUUGGGAUUACAGGUGUGAGCCACUGUGCCUGGCCAUGCACAUCCUUAAAUACUCAGCUAAUUAGCCACCUGGCUAAUUUUUAAAAUCUAGGGGCCUUUCACUGAUGCUGCCAAGCCUGGUCAGAGCUCUGCUCGGGUCCCAGGGCCCCCAUGUUUCCUCCACGACACACUUUUCUUCGUUCAAUUUCCUGAUAGCUGAUCCAUCAACCCCAUCGACUAGCUCUCUCAACUGGUGGCCUCCCUCCUGUCCCCCACCCCCAUAUCUAGUACACAAUGUGGUUUUUGGGGCUCAUACAGCCUCCUUCCCUCCCUCCCUUCCUUCCUUCCCCUCUCUCUCCCCCCAUCUCUCUCUGUCCCUCCCUCCCCACCUCUUUCUUUCCUCUUCUCUCUCUCCUCGCUCUCCUCUCUCUCUCUUUUUUUUUUUUUAAUUUUUUGAGACGGAGUCUCGCUCUGUCACCCAGUCUAGAGUGCAGUGGUGUAAUCUUGGCUCACUGCAACCAACCUCUGCCUCCCAGAUUAAAGCAAUUCUCAUGCCGCAGCCUCCCUAGUAGCUGGAAAUACAGGUGUGCGCCACCACGCCUGGCUAAUUUUAAAAAUAUUUUCAGUAGGCCAGGCACGGUGGCUUACACCUGUAAUCCCAGCACUUUGGGAGGCUGAGGUGGGUGGAUCAAAAGGUCAGGAGUUCGAGAAGAGCCUGGCCAACAUAGUGAAACCCCAUCUCUACUAAAAACACAAAAAUUAACUGGGUGUGGUGGUGGGUGCCUGUAGUCCCAAGCUACUCAGGAGGCUGAGGCCGGAGAAUUGCUUGAACCUGGGAGGCAGAGGUUGCAGUAAGCUGAGAUUGCGCCACUGCACUCCAGACUGGGCGAAAGACCGAGACUCCAUCUCAAAAAAAAAAAAAAAAAAAAAAAAAAAAAAAAUUUCCAGGCACGGUGGCUCAAGCCUGUAAUCCCAGCACUUUGGGAGGCCAAGGCAGGCAGAUCACCUGAGGUUGGGAGUUCGAGACCAGUCUCACCAAUGGAGAAACCCCAUCUCUACUAAAAAUACAAAAAAAUUAGCCGGGCAUGGUGGCGCAUGCCUGUAAUCCCAGCUACUUGGGAGGCUGAGGCAGGAGAAUCCCUUGAACCUGGGAGGUGGAGGUUGCGGUGAGCCGAGAUUGCUCCAUUGCACUCCAACCUGGGCAACAAGAGCGAAACUCUGUCUCAAAAAAAAAAAGAGAUGAGGUCUUGCUCUGUCACCCAGGCUAGAGUGCAGUGGCAUAAUUAUAGCUCACUGCAGCCUUGAACUCCUGGGCUCAAGUGAUCCUCCUGCCUCAGCCUACAGAGUAGCUGGGACUACAGGUGUGAGCCACCACAUCCAGCUAAUUUUUUUUUUUUAAUUUUUGUAGAGACAUUGUCUCACUAUGUUGCCCAGGCUGAUGUUGAACUCCUGGCCUCAAGCAAUCCUCCCACCUCGGACUCCCAAUGUGCUGGGAUCACAGGUGCGAGCCCCCGUGCCCGGCUGAGGCUGACCUUUUUUCUGCUGCUUGUAGCUCUCUAGCUGAUGCCGCUG